rnacentral:snRNA from 1 species
AUAUUUACCUGGAAAGGGAGAAACCAUGAUAGCAAAGCUGUUUCCCCAGAGUGAGGCUUAUUCACGGCAUUCUGGACAUUUGGAUCCCUGCAGUUUCCCAGAUACUUGACUGCAUAGUUUGUCGUGGGGAACUGUAUAUUUGUUCUCUUCCCUU